CCUGAGAGCUCCCCUGCCCACACUGUAGCCACUUGGGGACACAGCAGAAAGACGGCUGUGUAUGAGCCAGGAAGAGGGUCCUCACCAGAUACCAAAUCUGUCUGCACUUUGAUCUUGGACUCCCAGCCUCCAGGACUGGAAACAGACCCACAAAGAGCAGAAGGAACGACCACGGACAACGAGGGAGCAGCCAGAGGAAUGUUUCCAAGCGGGAACAACGGUCAUAGAACUAUCAGCUGGAAGAAAGGAUAACCACAUACUUCUUUGCGUCGACUAAAAUUUUUGAGAAAUAUAAGAGAGAGUCUCUGAAUGCCACAGAUCCACUGGCCGCCGUCUGGGCUUACCAGCGCCCCCUGGAAGCUGCCAUGAUUAGCACAGGACCCGUGAUGUCAUCUGCACACUGAUGCCUUAGGAAGACCUCUGAGAGCACACUGGUCAGAAGGCACGAAGGAACUAUGGAAGGAGAAUGAGUAGGUGCAGAGUGAGAUGAUAAAUAAUCACCUACCUACCUGCCUGUGACAGUCUUGACGUGUACUUGACUCAUGCACUCACCCACCCGGCAAACAUCUUAGACCACCUUGUAUGUCCCAGGAAUCAUGCUGGGUUCUGGGGCUACAGUAUGAGAACCUGUCUCCGGGAGGCUUAUAGUCUAGAGCAGCUCCGUCGGGAAAUCCAGGGUGCAGUUUUUACUUAAAGCCCCUUAGUUCAGAUGAAGCACUUUGCAAUGUACCUCAGCCGCGCGUGCGAGUGGCCGCUGUGCCGAACGGCACUCGCAGGCCUGGGGGUAGCUGGCUGCGCCUUGAUCGCUGCACAUGCAAAGGUCCCAACCCGUUUUUGAUGGGUCUGUUUGUAGCUUACCUCGCAGCCCUCAUAAAGUCACAAACUGCGUAGGAAAAAUCACAAAUAAUUACUAUUUUACCUAGUUAGAUGUACUGUGAUGAACCUUCCAGUCUUCCUACCACAGACUAAGGUGUUGCUUCUAUGACUGUUCUCUCCUCUACCACACCCACAGAAAUCAAUAUAAAAUUCCCCCGAACCCCAGCCCACUGUCUAUCGGCAUCUCUGGCUAUACCAUAGUCUCUUAAAAAAAAAAAA